GAGGAUAUAGCUCAAGUGGUAGAGUGCAUUCCUAGCAUGCACAAGGUCCUGGGUUCAAUCCCCAGUAUCUCCU
rnacentral:tRNA from 1 species